GAUUAAGUUAUUAAGGGCGCACGGUGGAUGCCUUGGCACUAGAAGCCGAUGAAGGACGUUACUAACGACGAUAUGCUUUGGGGAGCUGUAAGUAAGCUUUGAUCCAGAGAUUUCCGAAUGGGGAAACCCAGCAUGAGUUAUGUCAUGUUAUCGAUAUGUGAAUACAUAGCAUAUCAGAAGGCACACCCGGAGAACUGAAACAUCUUAGUACCCGGAGGAAGAGAAAGAAAAUUCGAUUCCCUUAGUAGCGGCGAGCGAAACGGGAAGAGCCCAAACCAACAAGCUUGCUUGUUGGGGUUGUAGGACACUCUAUACGGAGUUACAAAGGACGACAUUAGACGAAUCAUCUGGAAAGAUGAAUCAAAGAAGGUAAUAAUCCUGUAGUCGAAAAUGUUGUCUCUCUUGAGUGGAUCCUGAGUACGACGGAGCACGUGAAAUUCCGUCGGAAUCUGGGAGGACCAUCUCCUAAGGCUAAAUACUCUCUAGUGACCGAUAGUGAACCAGUACCGUGAGGGAAAGGUGAAAAGCACCCCGGAAGGGGAGUGAAAUAGAACCUGAAACCGUGUGCUUACAAGUAGUCAGAGCCCGUUAAUGGGUGAUGGCGUGCCUUUUGUAGAAUGAACCGGCGAGUUACGAUUUGAUGCAAGGUUAAGCAGUAAAUGUGGAGCCGUAGCGAAAGCGAGUCUGAAUAGGGCGUUUAGUAUUUGGUCGUAGACCCGAAACCAGGUGAUCUACCCUUGGUCAGGUUGAAGUUCAGGUAACACUGAAUGGAGGACCGAACCGACUUACGUUGAAAAGUGAGCGGAUGAACUGAGGGUAGCGGAGAAAUUCCAAUCG
rnacentral:rRNA from 1 species